UGGGGAAUUUUGGACAAUGGGGGAAACCCUGAUCCAGCCAUCCCGCGUGUGCGAUGAAGGCCUUCGGGUUGUAAAGCUCUUUUGGCAGGUAAGAAACGUCAUGGGUUAAUACCCCGUGAAACUGACGGUACCUGCAGAAUAAGCACCGGCUAACUACGUGCCAGCAGCCGCGGUAAUACGUAGGGUGCAAGCGUUAAUCGGAAUUACUGGGCGUAAAGCGUGCGCAGGCGGUUCGGAAAGAAAGAUGUGAAAUCCCAGAGCUCAACUUUGGAACUGCAUUUUUAACUGCCGGGCUAGAGUGUGUCAGAGGGAGGUGGAAUUCCGCGUGUAGCAGUGAAAUGCGUAGAUAUGCGGAGGAACACCGAUGGCGAAGGAAGAAUCAUGGAAUAACACUGACGCUCAUGCACGAAAGCGUGGGGGGCAAACAGG
rnacentral:rRNA from 1 species